AAGUCGAACGAGAAUCUACGGAUCGAGGAUUCGUCCAAGUGAAGUAGAGGACAGUGGCGGACGGGUGAGUAACGCGUGAGGAACCUGCCUUUCAGAGGGGGACAACAGUUGGAAACGACUGCUAAUACCGCAUGACACAUUGGGGUCGCAUGGCUCUGAUGUCAAAGAUUUAUCGCUGAAAGAUGGCCUCGCGUCUGAUUAGCUAGUUGGUGAGGUAACGGCCCACCAAGGCGACGAUCAGUAGCCGGACUGAGAGGUUGACCGGCCACAUUGGGACUGAGAUACGGCCCAGACUCCUACGGGAGGCAGCAGUGGGGAAUAUUGGGCAAUGGGCGCAAGCCUGACCCAGCAACGCCGCGUGAAGGAAGAAGGCUUUCGGGUUGUAAACUUCUUUUGUCAGGGACGAGUAGAAGACGGUACCUGACGAAUAAGCCACGGCUAACUACGUGCCAGCAGCCGCGGUAAUACGUAGGUGGCAAGCGUUGUCCGGAUUUACUGGGUGUAAAGGGCGUGUAGCCGGGAAGGCAAGUCAGAUGUGAAAUCCACGGGCUCAACUCGUGAACUGCAUUUGAAACUGUUUUUCUUGAGUAUCGGAGAGGCAAUCGGAAUUCCUAGUGUAGCGGUGAAAUGCGUAGAUAUUAGGAGGAACACCAGUGGCGAAGGCGGAUUGCUGGACGACAACUGACAGUGAGGCGCGAAA
rnacentral:rRNA from 1 species